rnacentral:rRNA from 1 species
AUUGAACGCUGGCGGCAUGCCUUACACAUGCAAGUCGAACGGCAGCACGGGGCAACCUGGUGGCGAGUGGCGAACGGGUGAGUAAUGCAUCGGAACGUACCUUUCAGUGGGGGAUAACGUAGCGAAAGUUACGCUAAUACCGCAUAUUCUGUGAGCAGGAAAGCAGGGGAUCGCAAGACCUUGCGCUGAUUGAGCGGCCGAUGUCAGAUUAGCUAGUUGGCGAGGUAAAGGCUCACCAAGGCGACGAUCCGUAGCGGGUCUGAGAGGAUGAUCCGCCACACUGGAACUGAGACACGGUCCAGACUCCUACGGGAGGCAGCAGUGGGGAAUUUUGGACAAUGGGGGCAACCCUGAUCCAGCCAUGCCGCGUGAGUGAAGAAGGCCUUCGGGUUGUAAAGCUCUUUCGGCCGGGAAGAAAUCGCACGGGCUAAUACCCUGUGUGGAUGACGGUACCGGAAUAAGAAGCACCGGCUAACUACGUGCCAGCAGCCGCGGUAAUAC